rnacentral:rRNA from 1 species
AUGGCGAUGACCCCAUGGCCUGUGUUCACGUUGUUUCCUAUUAACGGCAGCUUCGACAUCACCACAAGGCAAGCCAAAAAAAUGGGUAAUACUUCUCUGGUCAAUGGUUAUCUAUUGGUGAAUUCAGGGCUGCCUUGGGAUCCAGGGACUAGCAAGCUCAGUUGGUAUUUUCACGAGUUUAGUGUUCUGCCAAGUUCAAGUUUAACUGCACUCAGUGAUUGGAUUGAUUCUGAUGAGGACAAUGGUAGUGUUAGUAGUCAAUCAGAUGGAGAAACUGAUGAGAAGGUAUCUGCAAGACUAUUUUUGGACCAAGAGGAUUUGGAUGGUGAUGAUUUUCAGCAGCAAUGUGGUCUUCGUUCAUAUCCAGAUGAGUUUUACCUUUGCUCUGUUGCUCUUUGGGGGGCCUUAUUUGGUUUCCAUCUGAGAUGUGGUCAAGCCUGUUACAACUCCAAUUAUCUGGUCAACGAAGAUGUUCAUGGAGGGCCUUUAAUGAUCCAGCAUACAUGUCUUGAUCCUGGAGAUGAUCUGUUAAUUAGUACUAACCUUGUUGCUCUGGAAUCACAUAUGUUGCAACUAUCUGGCAGUGCCGAUGGACUGAAAUCAACAAGUGUUAGUAUCCAGGUAAUUAACCCAAUCAAGGAGAGAGCUGUGAAAUUGGUUAGACAAUAG